UACGUAGGGUGCAAGCGUUGUCCGGAAUUAUUGGGCGUAAAGGGCUCGUAGGCGGCCAACUAAGUCAGACGUGAAAUCCCUCAGCUUAACUGGGGAACUGCGUCUGAUACUGGAUGGCUUGGAUUCGGGAGAGGGAUGCGGAAUUCCAGGUGUAGCGGUGAAAUGCGUAGAUAUCUGGAGGAACACCGGUGGCGAAGGCGGCAUCCUGGACCGAUAUUGACGCUGAGGAGCGAAAGCUAGGGGAGCAAACAGG
rnacentral:rRNA from 1 species